rnacentral:lncRNA from 1 species
AAGCAUUGUGGCACCCCGGCUCAGAGAAAACUGGAACGCCCCGUAUUCUAGCCCAGAGAUCGAGGUGAAGUCUUCUGGAAUAUAACACUGCUUAGCAUAGAACAAACCAGCUCUCCUAUUACAACAUGAAUAUGAUUACAAGGUCUCCGAUAUUACAAUGAAUAACAUCGGCACGGCGACACUACGCCAUCCUCAGUUGCUCUAUGCAAGCAGCACAAUACUUGAAGCAGCGGAACAACUACUGGCAGCGGAACAACGAACGACGACGAUGGACUCCAAUCCGUAGGGACUCUGGCUGUAACGUUUAUCCUAGCUCGCGAACACAAGAACAACACCAAACAAGCAAGUAAUCCAGACACGACCUGCAAGCUGGCAUGACACGCCAGGUCAGUACAUUGAAUGUACUUGCAAGCUCACAAUAACCAGAAGCAUUCAAGACAAACAAUAGCAUGGCAAUUACAGGUUAAGCAGGAAUUGAUAUGAGAUCAUCAGAAUAACAUGGCAUUAACAACAUGACAUCCAAAGUAAUACUUCCAAAAUAAUACCAGAUACCAUCAUGAAAAUAACCAUAAUAGCCACUAAGAAUCCAAAGGCAAUAUGAACCUGAUACAGCUAGAACAAUAUGAGCAUAGCAUGAACAUAUUAAUCUGACGAUACUAGCAUGCAACAUGAUGGCACUACAUGCACCAAUUAUUCUGCUCGGGUUAUCUCGUAACCAUCACGCGCAUCACUUACCCACCUCGGACAUUACAUGAUCAUCUCAGGAUCAAAUCAAGAUUGGUAUAAACAAUACCGUAGUAAUCAUUAAAUGACCACAAGGAGCUUGAUCUUUACCCAUGAUUCUCGCACAACAGCACGAAUAUCCAACAACUCGGUAUCCUCGAUACCACAGUGAUCAUUCCGGCGAUCACAACCAUGACCACCACUGGGUCUCAAACCAUGAUCCUUACGGCGAUCACAACCACUUAUCUCAUCAUCAAACCGGGGUUGUCAUUAAUUAUGUUAUUAUUAAUACUGUUGACUCACGGUGGGACCGACACGAACUGGGCCCUUAUCCGCGGGCACGGCUAUCGAUAGAUUUAAUAUACACUCUGCAGAGGUAGCACACUGUACCCACACCACGGAACCCAUGGCCUCGCACUCCCAUUCGGGUGGACCAACGACGUUCCGACAAAACCGAUCUAUUGCCAUGACACUCUCCCGGCCACUCCGACCCACUCCCAACUGGGCUAGUCCUGGGUGGCCCCGUGUCUACCAAAGACACCCCACCACCGUCGUGGUCAAACUCCCUCACGGGGAAAACUCCCUCACGGGGACCGGAUCCAUAAAAACAAUGUGCACACAAGGUUAUGGCUGCUUAGUGGGCCAGGGUACGCACGCCCAUAACCUUCCCUCGUGGGAGGCACCGGCGAGAUGCACGACAAUAGAUCCAGUUAGGACCCCCCAUAAGGUAAGCGUGGUUGCACUGGUCAGUUUCGAUCUGGCGGCACCAUGACUCAGCCAACAGUUGUUCAAGUUCAAUUAAAUCCGGUUAAACUUGAAUGCAAUAUGCUGAGCCAUGAUAAAAUAACAUGAUGCAAUUACAAUGCAUGAACAUGAUAUCAACAUAAGCACGGGAUGCAACAUAACUCUCCAUCAUAUCGACUAUGAAAUAAUCUCCAACUGAACAUGGCAUAAUGACGAGCAUAAAUAUUACAAGUGCAACACUACUCAUAGUAUAACAUAACAUGACCAUUAUCAUCAACCAUAAAUAACAUGCAAGAACUCAUCAAUAAUAUUACCAAGUAACACUUAACCAACUAACAGCAACGGAACAAUGCCUAUUAACAGUACUCGGUAACCGACGUUAGUCAUGCACCGAAGAGCAUGACCAACCCAAAAUGUACUACUAUCAAGCAUGGCAAUAUGAAAGUAAAACUAACAACUAGCAGGGCAUGAUAACCAGGUGCAUAAUAACAUAGCAAACAACUAAGCACUAACCUAGAAACAUUACCGGAACAACGAUAACCAUCUUUUAAACAAGCAAUCAUUUAAUAAAUAUUCAAGUUGAAAACCAUGGCUACUGCAUGACUAUCAUGCAAGUGGGUAUUGUGGCUUGCCUGGGGUGACGGAGACUCUAGAAAGAAGUGCGGUGAAGCCGCGGAACGAAACGUCGGACGGUACGUACUCGGAGGGGGCUGAUUAGAGGCAAUGACAAAAUGGUCAUUUUCACUGUGAAACCAUCUAGUGAAAAUGUUACCAAAAGAUAGAGAACGGCGAUACGAAGAAGUGAGCGUUGGUUUCACCUCAAUCGGAGUUACGGUUGAAAAGUUGUGAAGGUUGGAAGAACAGGCACCAAUCUGUGAAAAUUUUAUCACCAACGGGUCCCUGAGUGGAUAAGACAAAAACAGAUUACACAAAAUACGCUUUCUUAAUAAGAAAACGUACUUCAGGCCGAAGUAGAAACGAACUAGGCCUUCAUUGGAAGAAGACGUACUCAGGGAAAUAUGUUUCCACUUACGUGACGUGUAGUGCCGGGGUCAACGGGCAGAGGAUGACAAGCGGGG